GACGAACGCUGGCGGCGUGCCUAAUACAUGCAAGUUGAACGCUUCUUUCCUCCCGAGUGCUUGCACUCAAUUGGAAAGAGGAGUGGCGGACGGGUGAGUAACACGUGGGUAACCUACCCAUCAGAGGGGGAUAACACUUGGAAACAGGUGCUAAUACCGCAUAACAGUUUAUGCCGCAUGGCAUAAGAGUGAAAGGCGCUUUCGGGUGUCGCUGAUGGAUGGACCCGCGGUGCAUUAGCUAGUUGGUGAGGUAACGGCUCACCAAGGCCACGAUGCAUAGCCGACCUGAGAGGGCGAUCGGCCACACUGGGACUGAGACACGGCCCAGACUCCUACGGGAGGCAGCAGUAGGGAAUCUUCGGCAAUGGACGAAAGUCUGACCGAGCAACGCCGCGUGAGUGAAGAAGGUUUUCGGAUCGUAAAACUCUGUUGUUAGAGAAGAACAAGGACGUUAGUAACUGAACGUCCCCUGACGGUAUCUAACCAGAAAGCCACGGCUAACUACGUG
rnacentral:rRNA from 1 species